rnacentral:rRNA from 1 species
AACGAACGCUGGCGGCAUGCCUAACACAUGCAAGUCGAACGAGACCUUCGGGUCUAGUGGCGCACGGGUGCGUAACGCGUGGGAAUCUGCCCUUUGCUUCGGAAUAACACAGAGAAAUUUGUGCUAAUACCGGAUAAUGUCGCAAGACCAAAGAUUUAUCGGCAAAGGAUGAGCCCGCGUAAGAUUAGGUAGUUGGUGGGGUAAUGGCCUACCAAGCCGACGAUCUUUAGCUGGUCUGAGAGGAUGAUCAGCCACACUGGGACUGAGACACGGCCCAGACUCCUACGGGAGGCAGCAGUGGGGAAUAUUGGGCAAUGGGCGAAAGCCUGACCCAGCAACGCCGCGUGAAGGAUGAAGGUCUUCGGAUUGUAAAGCUCUUUUACCAGGGAUGAUAAUGACAGUACCUGGAGAAUAAGCUCCGGCUAACUCCGUGCCAACAGCCGCGGUAAUGUAGUCGUGU